AUUGAACGCUGGCGGCAGGCCUAACACAUGCAAGUCGAGCGAGCGGCGGACGGGUGAGGAAUGUAUGGGGACUGCCCGAUAGAGGGGGAUCACUACUGGAAACGGUAGCUAAUACCACCUACUAUCGGAUAACCCAUAUGGGAUUAGCUCGUAGGUGAGGUAAUGGCUCACCUAGGCGACGAUACCUAGCUGGUCUGAGCGGAUGAUCAGCCACACUGGAACGGAGACACGGCCCAGACUCCUACGGAGGCAGCAGUGGGGAAUAUUGCACAAUGGGCGAAAGCCUGAUGCAGCCAUGCCGCGGGGAUGAAGAAGGCCCUAGGGUUGUAAAGUACUUUCAGUCGGGAGGCGUUACCGACAGAAGAAGCACCGGCUAACUCCGUGCCAGCCGCCGCGGUAAUAC
rnacentral:rRNA from 1 species